rnacentral:hammerhead_ribozyme from 1 species
CCACUGAUGACGAGUCCUGAAUAGGACGAAAUACGCAUCCUGUAU